rnacentral:rRNA from 1 species
GACGAACGCUGGCGGCGUGCUUAACACAUGCAAGUCGAACGAAGUGGCGAACGGGUGAGUAACGCGUAAGAAACCUGCCCUUCAGAGGGGGACAACAGUUGGAAACGACUGCUAAUACCGCAAACUGAAGGAGGGGAUUGCGUCUGAUUAGCUAGUUGGAGGGGUAACGGCCAACCAAGGCGAUGAUCAGUAGCCGGUCUGAGAGGAUGAACGGCCACAUUGGGACUGGGACACGGCCCAGACUCCUAUGGGGGGCAGCAGUGGGGAAUCUUCCGCAAUGGACGAAAGUCUGACGGAGCAACGCCGCGUGAGGGAUGACGGCCUUCGGGUUGUAAAGCUCUGUUAAUCGGGACGCGGUACCGGAAUAGAAAGCCACGGCUAACUACGUGCCAGCAGCCGCGGUAAUUC